CGCGUAGGUGGUUCAUUAAGUGGGAUGUGAAAGCCCCGGGCUUAACCUGGGAAUUGCAUUUCAAACUGACGAACUAGAGUACGAUAGAGGGGGGUAGAAUUCAGAGUGUAGCGGUGAAAUGCGUAGAUAUUCUGAGGAAUACCAGUGGCGAAGGCGGCCCCCUGGAUUGAUACUGACACUGAGGCGCGAAAGCGUGGGGAGCAAACA
rnacentral:rRNA from 1 species